GCAUUCUUAUUCCGAUUCAAGUAUCCUGGAAAAGUGUCACCGAACGGCCCUGCUGGGACUUCGCGCCCCACAAUCACGGCUGCUGAGUCUACGCUAAUUGAGUGAGUGCGACACAGAUGCUCCCCUUCUGGCUGGAGGGAGGGAGCAGAGUUCCCCACUUUUCUCCAGAAAUAAUCCUGAUUGGUUUAAAAAGAUGCACUGUAUGAAGUGGAGAAACAACAGGACCCAAACAAAGAGACAGAAUCGAUUUUUAUUACUGUUAAAGUCAUCAAGUCAGUCAAGGAGUACAUUACAGAGCUUUACAAAAAAGAAAAUGCAGGACGGGAGCGGCGGGCGACCGCCGGUUCCUGGCAGAAACACCACAUGAACAGUAACAUCUGUUGGAGCAUGAACACAGACACAGAGUGAAACGUGUUGGGGGGGAAAGCAGUGCUUCAGAGUGUAACAGUGUUUAUUUAACAUCAAACACAUUUGACCGCUAACAAAUGAAAUAUUUCUCUGAUAUUUCUCUGAUUCAGGCUCUAAGGGAUUAUUUACCUGGCAAAUAUAUUCACCACCUCCAUCCUGGGAACUUAUUCAGAUUUUGUCACAUUUCAGCCUUAAGAUGGGUUUUUAUGAGUCAGACUGACAUAAAGUGUGUAAUAGUUGUGAAGCUGUAAUAAAAUGUUCUUUGAACACCUCUGAGGCUUGUUGUUAGCUGAGAGAAAACUGUGAAGAUGUUUAACCCAGAAAGGUCCACUGUUGUGAUAUUACAUCAUCUAUAUAUUUUAACAAAAAAAAAAAACAACUAACAAAUGUUUACUUUUCUUCUGUUUUUUUCCCUCCUAAACCUAGAGAUUGAACCCUACAAUGUUUCAUAAAACCUUACAAAAGCAAAAAUACUUUUCAGAAAACAUAUUUUCAUCUCUAGCGUACUCCUACAAAACCAUUUUCAAGGUUCUUCUAUGUUUUUCUACAUCUGGAUCUUCCAGGGUUAAAACCAGAGAAGCAGCCGAUAGGCCCCUUGGUGACUUUGGAGGAGCUGCACAGGUCUACAGCUCAGGUGGGAGGUUGAGAAGACUUAAAAAUACACUUUAAGUGUGGAAAGAAGAAAGAGACAAAUAAUCCCAUUUGAAAUUUGUGACGCGCCAUGAGGAAACCAGGGACAAGUCACCAGAGCAGAAGCAGAACAAAAACCCAACAUAAAAAUACUUACAUUUCUAAGAAAAUAAUGAUUUUCGUUUUACUGCUAAAUCAUAAAUAACCCAUCCUCUACUUUAAAAAGCAGAUUCAGAGAUAUUAAAAUGGUCAAAUUUGUGUUUGGAUUCAGAGUAAAUCUGAGCUGUUUUGGAGUAAGCAAACAGCUGAUUAACAUACCGGGCAUAAUUGGGUAUUCACACGUUUUCGGUUUCGGCCAAUAAGAUGAAAAUUGAAGUUAUUUACAGAUUCACAAAGUGUGGAAUCAAUGCUUUCCAAUAAUGUUCCUGUCAAAACGCCUCCAAGGAGAUUUGUUCCUGGUUUUAUUGUGGUCAGUCACAUUCGUCAAAGGCCGUGUAGAGGUCACGGCAAACAUGGAGGGAUGUGUCUCCAUGGGUCACCGAUGAUGAUUAACAGUUUUCCUGCAAUGUUACGUUGUUUAGCAGCUAUUAGCAUGUACACGAGAUUGAUUGACAGCGCUAAGACCUUCCUCCGGGCUCUGAUUGGUUGUUUUUGUCUGGGGAGGAGGAGGUUGAUUUUUUUUCUUUUUCAAAGAUUAUCUGUCUCAUAACAUACUGUCAUGGCAUAAUUUUUGUGACAUGUAUGAACUGC